rnacentral:rRNA from 1 species
UAGGGAAUAUUAGUAAUGGGCGAAAGCCUGAACUAGCAACGCCGCGUGUGCGAAGAAGGCCUUCGGGUUGUAAAGCACUUUUUGAGAGGAUGAGGAAGGACGGUACUCUCAGAAUAAGUCUCGGCUAACUACGUGCCAGCAGCCGCGGUAACACGUAGGAGGCGAACGUUAUCCGGAUUUACUGGGCGUAAAGCGCGUGUAGGUGGUUUGGUAAGUAGGGCGUGAAAGCUCCUGGCUCAACUGGGAGAGGCCGUUCUAAACUGCCGAACUAGAGGAUGGUAGAGGGAGGUGGAAUUCCGGGUGUAGCGGUGGAAUGCGCAGAUAUCCGGAGGAACACCAGUGGCGAAGGCGGCCUCCUGGACCAUUCCUGACACUCAGACGCGAAAGCUAGGGUAGCAAACG